rnacentral:rRNA from 1 species
CCUACGGGUGGCAGCAGUCGAGAAUCAUUCACAAUGGGGGAAACCCUGAUGGUGCGACGCCGCGUGGGGGAAUGAAGGUCUUCGGAUUGUAAACCCCUGUCAUGUGGGAGCAAAUUAAAAAGAUAGUACCACAAGAGGAAGAGACGGCUAACUCUGUGCCAGCAGCCGCGGUAAUACAGAGGACUCAAGCGUUGUUCGGAAUCACGGGGCGUAAAGCGUGCGUAGGCUGUUUCGUAAGUCGUGUGUGAAAGGCGCGGGCUCAACCCGCGGACGGCACAUGAUACUGCGAGACUAGAGUGAUGGAGGGGGAAGCGGAAUUCUCGGUGUAGCAGUGAAAUGCGUAGAUAUCGAGAGGAACACUCGUGGCGAAGGCGGGUUCCUGGACAUUAACUGACGCUGAGGCACGAAGGCCAGGGGAGCGAAAGGGAUUAGAUACCCCAGUAGUC